AUUGAACGCUGGCGGCAGGCCUAACACAUGCAAGUCGAGCGGAGCGGCGGACGGGUGAGUAAUGCCUAGGACUCUGCCUGUUCGUGGUGGAUAACGUCCGGUAACGGGAGCUAAUACCGCAUCCUCUCAGAUGAGCCUAGGCCGGAUUAGCUAGUUGGUGGGGUAAAGGCCUACCUAGGCGACGAUCCGUAACUGGUCUGAGAGGAUGAUCAGUCACACUGGAACUGAGACACGGUCCAGACUCCUACGGGAGGCAGCAGUGGGGAAUAUUGGACAAUGGGCGAAAGCCUGAUCCAGCCAUGCCGCGUGUAUGAAGAAGGCCUUCGGAUUGUAAAGUACUUUAAGUUGGGAGGCGUUACCAACAGAAUAAGCACCGGCUAACUUCGUGCCAGCAGCCGCGGUAAUUC
rnacentral:rRNA from 1 species